UACGGAGGGUGCAAGCGUUGCUCGGAAUUAUUGGGCGUAAAGGGUAGGUAGGUGGUCUCAUUUGUCUGGGGUGAAAGCCUUGAGCUUAACUCAAGAAGUGCCCCAGAAACGGUGAGACUAGAGUCCUGGAGAGGGUCGUGGAAUUCCCGGUGUAGCGGUGAAAUGCGUAGAGAUGUGGAGGAAUACCGAUGGCGAAGGCAGCCCCCUGGGAUAACACUGACGCUCAUGCACGAAAGCGUGGGGAGCAAACAGG
rnacentral:rRNA from 1 species